UAGCAAAUUUUACCUUAUUGUUAUCAAAGUUCUUAAAUAAAAAAAAAAUGUUACCACUAAGGGAACCAGGUGUGCCAAAGUAAUAGUGGUGAUAGGAAUGUAUCAGCCUCAGAAGCUCCUGAGGUGGCCCUUUAUAUCCUCACACAGUA
ensembl:snoRNA SNORA66 Small nucleolar RNA SNORA66